GAGUUUGAAAUUCUUGCUUCAGGCCAUAUGGAGUGGAUAUUCCUUCCAGAAGGAAAUUACAGACCACUCUCUGUUUCUACUCAACUGCUUUUCAAUCCAGGAUGCUUCACCUCCUGGGGCCUUCCCAGCGGAGUCCCAGAUCACUGGCAAAAGGUUUCCCCAAGGGUGGGGCCGGAAGCAGGGCUGUAGGUAUGUGUCCUGAACCUCCCACAGACCCUGCUGGCUCCCUUCAAAGGCUUCCGGCAUAGCGACUUGCCUUUCCAUCAUGUUCAGUCGUCACCAAUCAGCCGUCUGCAGACUCUUCUCCCUCAUGUUGUGGCAGAGGAGUUGUACAUUCUCUAGAUUUUAAAAAUAUAUAGGUUACUUGUUCUUUAAAAAAAAAGUCUCUGAAAUAA